GAGAGUGGGUAGUCCGCACGAGCGCACCUUACUUUUAGUUGCCAUCAUUUAGUUGGGCACUCUGAAAGAACUGCCAGUGAUAAGCUGGAGGAAGGUGGGGAUGACGUCAAGUCCUCAUGGCCCUUACGUGUUGGGCUACACACGUGCUACAAUGGCAUUUACAAUAGGAAGCAAGAUGGCGACAUCAAGCAAAUCCUAAAAAAAUGCCUCAGUUCGGAUUGCACUCUGCAACUCGAGUGCAUGAAGCUGGAAUUACUAGUAAUCGUGGAUCAGCGUGCCACGGUGAAUACGUUCCCGGGUCUUGUACACACCGCCCGUCACACCAUGGGAGUUGGUUCUACCUUAAGGCAAGGUUUUAAACCCUUGACCACGGUAUAGUCAGCGACUGGGGUGAAGUCGUAACAAGGUAGCCGUAGGGGAACCUGCGGCUGGAUUACCUCCUUUCU
rnacentral:rRNA from 1 species